rnacentral:rRNA from 1 species
UGGGGAAUAUUGGACAAUGGGCGCAAGCCUGAUCCAGCCAUGCCGCGUGUGUGAAGAAGGCCUUUUGGUUGUAAAGCACUUUAAGCGAGGAGGAGGCUACUUGGAUUAAUACUCUAGGAUAGUGGACGUUACUCGCAGAAUAAGCACCGGCUAACUCUGUGCCAGCAGCCGCGGUAAUACAGAGGGUGCGAGCGUUAAUCGGAUUUACUGGGCGUAAAGCGUGCGUAGGCGGCUUCUUAAGUCGGAUGUGAAAUCCCUGAGCUUAGCUUAGGAAUUGCAUUCGAUACUGGGAAGCUAGAGUAUGGGAGAGGAUGGUAGAAUUCCAGGUGUAGCGGUGAAAUGCGUAGAGAUCUGGAGGAAUACCGAUGGCGAAGGCAGCCAUCUGGCCUAAUACUGACGCUGAGGUACGAAAGCAUGGGGAGCAAACAGG